CUCACUCUCUUCUUGACGCCUCUUUCCUUUCUUCUUCAUCUCAUCUCCCCCAUUUCCCUUUUCAUGAAACCUGCCAGAACCUUGACCCGAAAUGAAGCCUGUGUUUUUCCAUUUUCGAGUAGCCUUCCAGCCGCAGCACUCCUCUCUCUACUCCCUCUCUCUUCUUUCCUCUCUUCCCCUCCAUUUAGCAUAAGAACAGCUCCCCUUUAACCUUACACAGCUUUGCCUUUCCAUUUCCAUACCAAAGUUGUCGCGACGCCUGGCCUUCUGUCAUUGACAGGAAAGGGAUUCCCUUUCCUCGCUUCAAACCGAACAGACCCAAAAAUUCAAACCAAAUCUCACCAUUUUGAGUAGAUAUCUGACCAAUCACGUGGACGGGCUACGAGCUCGUCCAAAACUCCUUCAACGUUCAAAUUUCAGACAAGUUUGACUAGAUUUCGAAACUUUUAUCCCGCCCAAUUCAAAUCAUAGAAAACCCUAGCAUACAUUUCAUAUAAAUACACCCCUUACGGGACGUUUUGAGGACGGGAUUUUUACCACAUUCAAUACUUUUAUUUUCUACUACUACUUCAAUCUUGGGUUCGUCCAAAUUCCGUUUGGUUUCGAGUUUAGUCAUUAUUUGCAUUUCGAAAUUAUUCGGAAAAUCAAACCAAACUUCUUUUUUAAAAAAGGAUACUGUUUCUGCUGAUAUCGAAAUUUUCGAUUUCAAAAGACUUUUUUCGAGUUCGAGUUCGUCGGGUUCGAGCCUAGAUUCGAGACUCCUGCCCCAAUUCACUGCACCAACAGAAGCCCUCUGUCCGCAACAAAAUAGCAAAACAAAUUCUGGGCUAUAGCCCAAUACAGCAGCAGCAGCCCGCAGCAUAUAUAAAAGAGAAAGGAAUUCUGGGCCAAAGCCCAAUGGCAAAAACGAUUGCAGUUGUCUUUAAAAAAUGGGCUGAGCCCAUUUAACUUGCUCCUCUAUUUUAUCUUUUCUUUGCAUUUAAUUUGUAUAACUAAUGCUUUGUUUUGCUAAUUUAGAGGAACCUUAGCGACAUUAA